GCGUAAGCGCACGCAGGCGGUCUGUCAAGUCGGAUGUGAAAUCCCCGGGCUCAACCUGGGAACUGCAUUCGAAACUGGCAGGCUAGAGUCUUGUAGAGCGGGGUAGAAUUCCAGGUGUAGCGGUGAAAUGCGUAGAGAUCUGGAGGAAUACCGGUGGCGAAGGCGGCCCCCUGGACUAAGACUGACGCUCAGGUGCGAAAGCGUGGGGAGCAAACAGGAUUAGAUACCCUGGUACUCCACGCCGUAAACGAUGUCGACUUGGAGGUUGUGCCCUUGAGGCGUGGCUUCCGGAGCUAACGCGUUAAGUCGACCGCCUGGGGAGUACGGCCGCAAGGUUAAAACUUCAAUGAAUUGACGCGGGCCCGCACACGCGGUGG
rnacentral:rRNA from 1 species